CCUACGUGCGGCAGCAGUGGGGAAUAUUGGACAAUGGGCGAAAGCCUGAUCCAGCCAUGCCGCGUGUGUGAAGAAGGCCUUCGGGUUGUAAAGCACUUUCAGUGGGGAAGAAAGCCUUGGGGCUAAUACCCUCGAGGAAGGACAUCACCCACAGAAGAAGCACCGGCUAACUCCGUGCCAGCAGCCGCGGUAAUACGGAGGGUGCGAGCGUUAAUCGGAAUUACUGGGCGUAAAGCGCGCGUAGGCGGUCUGAUAAGCCGGUUGUGAAAGCCCCGGGCUCAACCUGGGAACGGCAUCCGGAACUGUCAGGCUAGAGUGCAGGAGAGGAAGGUAGAAUUCCCGGUGUAGCGGUGAAAUGCGUAGAGAUCGGGAGGAAUACCAGUGGCGAAGGCGGCCUUCUGGACUGACACUGACGCUGAGGUGCGAAAGCGUGGGUAGCAAACAGGAUUAGAUACCCGUGUAGUC
rnacentral:rRNA from 1 species